GGUUUCUCUGUGUAGCCCUGGCUGUCCUGGAACUCACUCUGUAGACCAGGCUGGCCUUGAACUCAGAGAUGCACCUGCCUCUGCCUCCAAGAGUGCUGGGAUUAAAGGCCUAUGCCACUAUGCCC
rnacentral:miRNA from 14 species